AGUGAACGCUGGCGGUAGGCCUAACACAUGCAAGUCGAACGGCAGCACAGGAGAGCUUGCUCUCUGGGUGGCGAGUGGCGGACGGGUGAGGAAUACAUCGGAAUCUACUUUUUCGUGGGGGAUAACGUAGGGAAACUUACGCUAAUACCGCAUACGACCUACGGGUGAAAGCAGGGGAUCUUCGGACCUUGCGCGAUUGAAUGAGCAGAUGUCGGAUUAGCUAGUUGGCGGGGUAAAGGCCCACCAAGGCGACGAUCCGUGGCUGGUCUGAGAGGAUGAUCAGCCACACUGGAACUGAGACACGGUCCAGACUCCUACGGGAGGCAGCAGUGGGGAAUAUUGGACAAUGGGCGCAAGCCUGAUCCAGCCAUACCGCGUGGGUGAAGAAGGCCUUCGGGUUGUAAAGCCCUUUUGUUGGGAAAGAAAUCCAGCUGGUUAAUACCCGGUUGGGAUGACGGUACCCAAAGAAUAAGCACCGGCUAACUUCGUGCCAGCCGCCGCGGUAA
rnacentral:rRNA from 1 species